GAUGAACGCUAGCGAUAGGCUUAACACAUGCAAGUCGAGGGGCAGCAUGGUCUUAGCUUGCUAAGACUGAUGGCGACCGGCGCACGGGUGCGUAACGCGUAUGCAACUUGCCUCACAGAGGGGGAUAACCCGUCGAAAGACGGACUAAUACCGCGUACACUUGGGAUGGGGCAUCCUGACCCAAGGAAAUGAAAUUCGCUGUGAGAUAGGCAUGCGUCCCAUUAGCUAGUUGGUGAGGUAACGGCUCACCAAGGCGACGAUGGGUAGGGGAACUGAGAGGUUGAACCCCCACACUGGUACUGAGACACGGACCAGACUCCUACGGGAGGCAGCAGUGAGGAAUAUUGGUCAAUGGGCGAGAGCCUGAACCAGCCAAGUCGCGUGAAGGAUGACUGUCUUAUGGAUUGUAAACUUCUUUUAUACGGGAAUAACAAGAGCCACGUGUGGCUCCCUGCAUGUACCGUAUGAAUAAGCAUCGGCUAACUCCGUG
rnacentral:rRNA from 1 species